AUGGAGGGAGACUGGAAAUCUCACGGAUGGAAGAGAGGUGAUGUUGAAGUUGGAAAUUGUAGAAGAAUAAGGGUGAACAGUGAAUAUGCGAGACAGUUUGAGCAAAAGAAGGUUGAUGUUGUGAGGAAGGGUGAUGUAAAGAGGAUUCAAUGGAAACUUGGAUGGUAUAAACUCUGUAUGAUUUAUGAUGAAUGGGAUGUUUUGACUAUUGUCCUUGUAGUGAGUCAUUGA